UUUUGGAAGUAUAAAAUCGUAACAAGGUUUCCGUAGGUGAACCUGCGGAAGGAUCAUUACAGAGUUCAUGCCCGAAAGGGUAGACCUCCCACCCUUGUGUAUUAUUACUUUGUUGCUUUGGCGAGCUGCCUUCGGGCCUUGUAUGCUCGCCAGAGAAUACCAAAACUCUUUUUAUUAAUGUCGUCUGAGUACUAUAUAAUAGUUAAAACUUUCAACAACGGAUCUCUUGGUUCUGGCAUCGAUGAAGAACGCAGCGAAAUGCGAUAAGUAAUGUGAAUUGCAGAAUUCAGUGAAUCAUCGAAUCUUUGAACGCACAUUGCGCCCCUUGGUAUUCCGGGGGGCAUGCCUGUUCGAGCGUCAUUUCAACCCUCAAGCUUAGCUUGGUAUUGAGUCUAUGUCAGUAAUGGCAGGCUCUAAAAUCAGUGGCGGCGCCGCUGGGUCCUGAACGUAGUAAUAUCUCUCGUUACAGGUUCUCGGUGUGCUUCUGCCAAAACCCAAAUUUUUCUAUGGUUGACCUCGGAUCAGGUAGGGAUACCCGCUGAACUUAAGCAUAUCAAAAGCCGGGAGGAAAAAAUUUAGC
rnacentral:rRNA from 1 species